rnacentral:rRNA from 1 species
AUUGAACGCUGGCGGCAGGCCUAACACAUGCAAGUCGAGCGAGCGGCGGACAGGUGAGUAAUGUCUGGGAAACUGCCUGAUUGAGGGGGAUAAAUACUGGAAACGGUAGCUAAUACCGCAUACCAUCGGAUGUGCCCAGAGGGGAUUAGCUAGGAGGUGGGGUAACGGCGCACCUAGGCGACGAUCCCUAGCUUGUCUGAGAGGAUUACCAGCCACACUGGAACUGUGACACGGUCCAGACUCCUACGGGAGGCAGCAGUUGGGAAUAUUGCACAAUGGGCGCAAGCCUGAUGCAGCCAGGCCGCGUGUAUGAAGAAGGCCUUCGGGUUGUAAAGUACUUUCAGCGGGGAGGCGUUACCCGCAGAAGAAGCACCGGCUAACUCCGUGCCAGCAGCCGCGGUAAUUC